AACGAACGCUGGCGGCAUGCCUAACACAUGCAAGUCGAACGAGACCUUCGGGUCUAGUGGCGCACGGGUGCGUAACGCGUGGGAAUCUGCCCUUGGUUCGGGAAUAACAGUGGGAAACUACUGCUAAUACCGGAUAAUGACGUAAGUCCAAAGAUUUAUCGCCGAAGGAUGAGCCCGCGUAGGAUUAGCUAGUUGGGUGGGGUAAAGCCUACCAAGGCGACGAUCCUUAGCUGGUCUGAGAGGAUGAUCAGCCACACUGGGAC
rnacentral:rRNA from 1 species